CUAUUCUGUCCAGGACCCUCACAGAUAUCCAGCCCCACCCACCCACCCCCAUCUCAGAGGGGUAUAAAUAAGUGUCUGCUUCCACCCUGGGCUACACUUUUCAGGCUCCAGAGAAGAUCGCGGGAUGAAAACUCUGCUGCUGACCUUGGUGGUGGUGACAAUCGUGUGCCUGGACUUAGGUAA